rnacentral:lncRNA from 1 species
GGGUAGUUCGGAUUGGAGUUGAACCUGGCUGGAAGAAGUCCGGAAGGGAUUCGAGGAACAGUUGAUAGUCGUAGAAAGUCGGCUGGCGGCGGGGCUUAGUGAGCGCUUAGGGCGGUUUAAUAGAUAACUGCGGAAAUUCAAUCAGCGCUGUGGGAAUCUGGCCGUUGGAGAGGUCCGGAGAGAUACCGUCGGCGGUCGAAAGUCGGCGGAGUCUUGGGAGGGUCAAUCCUGUUAAGAACUUCGGCU